GCUAAUUAGUUCAAUCGACUGCGGUACCAUAGCCAAAAUGGGAACGAACCAAAGCAAGAUAUAUUGUUUGGUGGUACUAUACUUGUUACGAAUAGGGUGUUUCUUGACUUUCUUCUGAUGUAGCCAAGAAGUUUAUUAGCUUUCGAAGCUUGACGAUGUACGUGUGUUCCCCAUGUCAUGUUCGUUGAAUUUUGAUACGCAUAUCUCGAGAUCUCUUUCAAUGCCCGUUGUUUGUAAUUGUUGAUCAUUUAGCUUAUACGUUGUCGUUAUUGGUUUAAACUUUCUUGUUAUCUGUUGCUGCUUGCAUUUCGUUUCGUUACAGUAAAUGCCAGACCGAAUCUGGACGACCAGUGUUCUAAGUGUUGAAGCCGUCAGUUUGAAGAACAUAGCCCCGAC